GAUGAACGCUAGCUACAGGCUUAACACAUGCAAGUCGCGGGGCAGCACGGGGGUUGCUUGCAAUCCCUGAUGGCGACUGGCGCACGGGUGAGUAACGCGUAUGCAACUUGCUCUUCACCACGGGAUAACUCGGGGAACGUAGGCUUAUAACCCUAUGUAGCUCAUUGACAGAACACGAUAUGGUCGGACGGCUCACCGGUGAGGGAUGGGGUUGCGUCCGAUUUGCUUGACGGCGGGGAAACCGCCCACCGAGGCUACGCGUGGUGGGGGUUCGGAGAGGAAGGUCCCCCACACUGGAACUGAGGCACAGUCCAGACUCCUACGGGAGGCAGCAGUGAAGAAGAUUGGUCAAGGAACGUAAGCCUGAACCAGCCAAGUAGCGUGCAGAAUGACGGGCCUAUGAGUUGUAAACUGCUUUUAAGCAAAGAUAAAGGGUCCAACGUGUGGUUUUUUGCAGGUACCGCAUGAAUAAGGACCGGCUAAUUCCGUG
rnacentral:rRNA from 1 species